AACACUUUAUCCCCAGCUUGGAAUUCUAAAUCCUUCCUCCUUGUAUCUGCAUAGCUCUUUUGUCGAUCUGUGCUGCCUUUAUUCUUGCACGGAUCUUAUCGAUUACCUCGACUGUCCUUUCAACUAUUUCUGAUCCUAAAACUCUCUUCUCUCCGACUUCAUCCAAAUGAACAAGGGAUCUACAUCUUCUACCAUAGGGAGCUUCGUAUGGUGCCAUUC
rnacentral:lncRNA from 1 species